rnacentral:rRNA from 1 species
CCCUUUUUAGCCCUGGGCGUGUGCGAUGAUCAAUUUGUUUUGCCUCUCAAGUGGGAAAAAUGAUUGGUAUCAUCGUCUGUGGCCAAAUAAUGAGCCCUCGAUGCAUAUCGUACUAACGAACUAGAAUGAAAAAGAGAGCGUGUGAUGUUGCUAUCCCUUUCGCAGUGUGUUCGUAAGUGGCACUGUGACUCCUUUUGCAUGGAAAACCAAAAUGACUCUCUGCAAUAUAUAUCCCAGGUCUCUCAUUGAUGAAAAACGUAGCAAAAUGUUAUACUUGGUGAGAAUUGCAAAAUCCCAUGUGUAGAAAAAUUCUUGUAUUUUUGUUGGCAUCCACAAAAACAUUUAGCUAAAAAAUCAGUGUAGAAGAUUUUAUGGCCAUUUGAAAAAAGUGUCCCCAUUUCAGACACUUAAAUGGCUACUGAUUUUGAAUCGUAAAAGCUUUUAUGCUCAUUAAAGGGGUGUGAGUUAUUGAGGUUCAUUGGGGGAUAGGGGGCUAAUAUAAGGGCCAAGGACCAGCACCCACCACACAUCAUGUGCGCACACCCCCUGGCCCUCCACCUCUAAUCAUUGAAACCCCCAUUGCCAUUAUUCAGUUCUUUGAUGAUGCUAUGGCAAUUGGAGUAAUGAUUAAUAGGGAUAGUCAAGGACAUUGUAUUUCAUAGUCAAAGGUGAAAUUCUUGGAUUUAUGAAAGAUGAACAACUAUGAAAGCAUUUGCCAAGGAUGUUUUCAUUAAUCAAGAAUGGAAGUUGAAGGCUCAAAGACAAUUACAUACUGUCUUAGUCUUAACCAUAAACGAUGCCAACCAAGGAUCAAUGGAUGUUACUUUUAAGACUCCUCUGGCACCUUAUAAGAAUCAAAGUCUUUGGAUUUCAGGUGGAGUAUGGUCAUAAGGCUAAAACUUAAAGGAAUUGAUGAAAAGGCACCACUAAUAGUGGAGCCUAUGGCUUAAUUUGACUUAACACAUGGAAACUUACCAAGUCUGGACAUACAAAGGAUUGAUAGAUUCAGAGCUCUUUUUUUAUUCUAUAGGUGGUAGUGCAUGGUCAUUCUUAGUUGGUGGAGCGAUUUGUUUAGUUAAUUCAAUUAAUGAACAAGACCUUAGCCUACUAACUAGCUAUGUGAAGGUGAACCUCCAUGGCUAGCUUCUUAGAAUGACUGUGGCCUUUUAGGCUAAGGAAGUUUAAGGCAAUAAUAAGUCUAUGAUACCCUUAGAUAUUUUAGGCCACACACAUAAUACACUAAUGUAUUCAAUGUAUCUAUAGCCUUGGUUGAUAGUGUUGGUUAAUCUUUGAAAUUUCAACAUGAUGGGGAUAGAUCAUUACCAUUGUUAGUCUUCAAUAAGGAAUUCCUAGUAAGCGUGAUUUAUCAACUUGUAUUAACUGCAUCCCUAACCUUUGUACACACCACCUGUCGCUCCUACCAAUUGAAUGGUCCUCAAAGUAUUCAAAUCAUGGCAACAUGGAUGGUUUACUACCUGCGACACAUUAAGAAGUCCACUAAACUUUAUCAUUUAGAGGAAGAAGAAGUCAUAACAAGGUUUUCAUAGGUGAACUUGUGGAAG